GAUGAACGCUGGCGGCGUGCCUAAUACAUGCAAGUCGAGCGAACAGACGAGGAGCUUGCUCCUCUGACGUUAGCGGCGGACGGGUGAGUAACACGUGGAUAACCUACCUAUAAGACUGGGAUAACUUCGGGAAACCGGAGCUAAUACCGGAUAAUAUAUUGAACCGCAUGGUUCAAUAGUGAAAGACGGUUUUGCUGUCACUUAUAGAUGGAUCCGCGCCGCAUUAGCUAGUUGGUAAGGUAACGGCUUACCAAGGCAACGAUGCGUAGCCGACCUGAGAGGGUGAUCGGCCACCAUGGAACUGAGACACGGUCCAGACUCCUACGGGAGGCAGCAGUAGGGAAUCUUCCGAAAAGGGCGAAAGCCUGACGGAGCAACGCCGCGUGAGUGAUGAAGGUCUUCGGAUCGUAAAACUCUGUUAUUAGGGAAGAACAAAUGUGUAAGUAACUAUGCACGUCUUGACGGUACCUAAUCAGAAAGCCACGGCUAACUACGUG
rnacentral:rRNA from 1 species